rnacentral:rRNA from 1 species
CCAAUAGCGUAUAUUAAAGUUGUUGCAGUUAAAAAGCUCGUAGUUGAAUUUCGGGGUUAGUAAGCUGGUCGUGCCACUGGUAUGUACUGGCUUUACUGAUUCCUCCUUCUUGUAGAACCGUAAUGCCAUUAAGUUGGUGUUGCGGGGAAACAGGACUGUUACUUCGAAAAAAUUAGAGUGUUUAAAGCAAGCUAACGCUUGAAUACAUUAGCAUGGAAUAAUGAAAUAGGACGUUCGAUCCUAUUUUGUUGGUUUCUAGGAUUGACGUAAUGAUUAAUAGGGAUAGUUGGGGGCAUUAGUAUUCAAUUGUCAGAGGUGAAAUUCUUGGAUUUAUUGAAGACUAACUACUGCGAAAGCAUUUGCCAAGGAUGUUUUCAUUAAUCAAGAACGAAAGUUAGGGGAUCGAAGACGAUCAGAUACCGUCGUAGUCUUAACCAUAAACUAUGCCGACUAGGGAUCGGAUGAUGUUAAUUUUAUAAUGACUCAUUCGGCGCCUUACG